CGAACGGGUGAGUAAUACAUCGGAACGUGUCCACUCGUGGGGGACAACCAGCCGAAAGGUUGGCUAAUACCGCAUGAGUUCUACGGAAGAAAGAGGGGGACCCGCAAGGGCCUCUCGCGAGCGGAGCGGCCGAUGACUGAUUAGCCUGUUGGUGAGGUAACGGCUCACCAAAGCAACGAUCAGUAGCUGGUCUGAGAGGACGACCAGCCACACUGGGACUGAGACACGGCCCAGACUCCUACGGGAGGCAGCAG
rnacentral:rRNA from 1 species